rnacentral:rRNA from 1 species
AUUGAACGCUGGCGGCAUGCCUUACACAUGCAAGUCGAACGGCUGCGGACCUUCGGGUGCCGGCGAGUGGCGAACGGGUGAGUAAUAUAUCGGAACGUACCUUUCAGUGGGGGAUAACGUAGCGAAAGUUACGCUAAUACCGCAUAUUCUGUGAGCAGGAAAGCAGGGGAUCGCAAGACCUUGCGCUGAUUGAGCGGCCGAUAUCAGAUUAGCUAGUUGGUGAGGUAAAGGCUCACCAAGGCGACGAUCUGUAGCGGGUCUGAGAGGAUGAUCCGCCACACUGGAACUGAGACACGGUCCAGACUCCUACGGGAGGCAGCAGUGGGGAAUUUUGACGAAUGGGCGGCAAGACCUGAUCCAGCCAUGCCGCCGUGAGUGAAGAAAGGCC